rnacentral:lncRNA from 1 species
UAUUUCAUGAUGUUGUCUGUUGUCUCCACACUGGGUUGCGUUUUAGGGACUUUAGAGAAUUUCAACAGUUCUAUUAACAGUUUAUUCUAAUACUGUGUCAGCCUCCUUGCUGCAUUUUAUACAGGAUAACAUGGUGGUUUUCAGAGUGUCAUUCCUGUUAAGCAAAUCAAAUCAAUGAUCAACCAUAAAAUGCAUUGGGUUAAAGGUUGUCACAUAUCGGUCGGUUGUAUAUUAUGCUCAUACAGUGUUGCUCCACCGAUGCCUAAAGUAAGAGAGAGAAAUAAUUCCCCUCAUUGUGCUCAUGGAGAAAAUUACACCUUUUACAAAUAUUCUGACAUUUGCUGAGGUUUUAGCAAACACUCGCAGAAGCGUCUGUCAUAUUUUAAUGGAGAAGACGCCGCUUCAUCACCUGAGGGAGGUAAUGCAAACGAAUGACAAACAACACAGCUCACUAACUGACUCUUGUGCAGCCAAUCAGCCUUAAUAUAUUGUAAUGUAUUCAUAAGGUCGUUCAGUGCUGAUGGAUCGCGGCUGAGCUUCAGAAAACGAGGAGCUAACAAACACAUUUGUUAAGUCGUUAUCUUCCCUUACUGUUGCAGCUCAGAAUAUGUAAUUCAUAUACAGUAUGCUUUUUAUCAAUCAAUGCAAUGGGGAAUGUACAGGUAAAAAUACAGAUGUAAGGGUUUUAAAAUGUUCUAGGAAAGAGCAGACGGUUUGAAAUUAAAAAUGUGUUUGUUUUCCAGUUGACUUCUUCAAACAAGCAAAUAAGCAAAAUAUCCACAAAGGACCGAAAUUAACCUCAUCAGCGUGGAGUGAAGAGCAUGAUUGCAAGCACAGGCGGCGUUACACAAUACGGGCUUUCAAAAAGCAGCCUCUCAGCUGUCUAAAUAGGAUGAUUGCUGUUGGUCUGAAGGGUCCUUCAGCGUGGGGAGCUGUGGAGCAGAGACACAGAGGAAGAGGCAGAACAUGUGGGAGGUUCCACCCUAAACUUAACUGCAGUUCAGCCUCCGCCCCCCGGGGGGCGCUGCUGUGUUUGUCCCUGACGUCACUUCCUGGUCCUGUUUCACCUACACCUGCUGCCAAAUCCAACUCUGCCAUGUGCUUGCAACUACGAGGGAGAGGCCGCCUUCGGUGCAUCUGCAGGUCUGCGGACAGCUGGGUUACGGGCGCUUUGAUAAGAGAAAAUGAAAGAUGUCAUAGCCUGGAUGCUCUUUUUUUCCCUUUGAAGCGGCUGCGGCGUUCAUGGCCAGGUUCUGCUUCAGCUGCACUGCAAAACACCAACUCUCGCGUCCCUCGUGCAGCAUCCUGAGCUCGCUGCUUGUGGAUUUGCAUGCUUAUUACAGCCCACAUACUCUGUCUCCAGCCAUCAUCUGUGUCUCAUCAACCUUCAUGUGAACCCAGUCGUCACACCAGUGUAGACUGCUUCAUGACAGCUGAUUAUAAUUUGAUUAGCCAAUUAUAUGUAAAUGAAUGAAAAAAAAAACACGUGUUUCGUCUGUCAGGUGUUUUAAAGUAGGGAUUUUGAAUAGAAUAUUUUAAUAAGAGACAAAGGGCCAGCGUUUAUUUCCUUGAACAAGGUUCAAAGUUGUUUGCACUGGUUUUGGGUUUUGCCAUAACUUCUGUUUAACAAAUGAAACUCCCUGUAAAACAGUUGCGUAAAAUACAGUAGAGGGAACAAAAGAGAAACUCUCUGCACACGUCUACAAUAUACUGUAUAUGUUUUCUGCUGUUGAGUUAUGGCAAUAGCACACAAUGGAUGAUGGGACCAUAGACUUAUCAAUAAUGCAUAAGAUAGUAAGAGAAAUGACAGCACUCUGCUGGUAGGUUCUCUCCAGCAGCAAGCCAUAAAUUUGCAGGGCAAUAAUAAUGACUCUUCUCAGGGAAAUAAAGGCCACCCUCUGCUCCCCA